rnacentral:rRNA from 1 species
CCUACGGGAGGCAGCAGUGGGGAAUAUUGCGCAAUGGGCGAAAGCCUGACGCAGCGACGCCGCGUGAGGGAUGAAGGUCUUCGGAUCGUAAACCUCUGUCAGCAGGGAAGAACGGUCACUGUGCUAAUCAGCAGUGAAUUGACGGUACCUGAGUAAGAAGCCCCGGCUAACUACGUGCCAGCAGCCGCGGUAAUACGUAGGGGGCAAGCGUUAUCCGGAUUUACUGGGUGUAAAGGGAGCGUAGACGGCAGUGCAAGUCUGGAGUGAAAGGGGGGGGCUCAAACCCCGUACUGCUCUUGAAACUGUACGGCUUGAGUGCAGGAGAGGUAAGUGGAAUUCCUAGUGGAGCGGUGAAAUGCGUAGAUAUUAGGAGGAACACCAGUGGCGAAGGCGGCUUACUGGACUGUAACUGACGUUGAGGCUCGAAAGCGUGGGGAGCGAACAGGAUUAGAUACCCCUGUAGUC